GUUUGUCUCAGCAGCUUUGUGAAUAGGUUUUAAGAGAAAACUCUUAGCUAAAAACAUUUACUGCUUUUUAGGAGAACUCUAAGUGGUAAGAAAAUAUUUUGUGAAUACGGGCCCAAGUCUGUUGUGUUGUGGUGUUGUUUC